AAUUCGAUGCAACGCGAAGAACCUUACCUACCCUUGACAUGUCCGGAACUUGCCAGAGAUGGCUUGGUGCCCGAAAGGGAAUCGGAACACAGGUGCUGCAUGGCUGUCGUCAGCUCGUGUCGUGAGAUGUUGGGUUAAGUCCCGCAACGAGCGCAACCCUUAUCAUUAGUUGCUACGCAAGGGCACUCUAAUGAGACUGCCGGUGACAAACCGGAGGAAGGUGGGGAUGACGUCAAGUCCUCAUGGCCCUUAUGGGUAGGGCUUCACACGUCAUACAAUGGUCGGUACAGAGGGUUGCCAAGCCGCGAGGCGGAGCCAAUCCCACAAAGCCGAUCGUAGUCCGGAUUGUUCUCUGCAACUCGAGAGCAUGAAGUCGGAAUCGCUAGUAAUCGCAGGUCAGCAUACUGCGGUGAAUACGUUCCCGGGUCUU
rnacentral:rRNA from 1 species